GAUGAACGCUGGCGGCGUGCUUAACACAUGCAAGUCGAACGGAAAGGCCCAAGCUUGCUUGGUUACUCGAGUGGCGAACGGGUGAGUAACACGUGGGUUAUCUGCCCUGCACUUCGGGAUAAGCCUGGGAAACUGGGUCUAAUACCGGAUAGGACGAUCGUUUGGAUGCCAUUGUUGAAAGUUUUUUCGGUGUGGGAUGAGCUCGCGGCCUGUCAGCUUUUUUGUGGGGUAAUGGCCUACCAAGGCGUCGUCGGGUGGCCGGCCGGAGAGGGGGUAAGGCCACACUGUGGCUGAGAGACGGCCCAGACUCCCACGGGAGGCAGAAGUGGGGAAUAUUGAACAAUGGGCGCAAGCCUGAUGCAGCGACGCCGCGUGGGGGAUGACGGCAUUCGGGUUGUAAACACCUUUCGCUAGGGACGAAGCGUUUUUGUGACGGUACCUGGAGAAGAAGCACCGGCUAACUACGUG
rnacentral:rRNA from 1 species